GCCCGGAUGGUGGAAUCGGUAGACACAAGGGAUUUAAAAUCCCUCGGCGUUCGCGCUGUGCGGGUUCAAGUCCCGCUCCGGGUA
rfam:Mangrovibacter sp. MFB070 Contig-034, whole genome shotgun sequence.